rnacentral:ncRNA from 1 species
GUAAAGGUAGAGAAAAGAAGAGUAGCUUCUCCAUUUUCUGAAUCAGAGAGCCUGGGCAGGUGAAAGCAGGACGGAAAACAGAAGCGAACAUGGUCUUGGAACUGAUUAUCCGAACAGCGUAGGAUAAGACGUGACUUCGCGUUAAGAAGCAAGCGCAUAUCGAAAAGAUAUGAAGUAAGGUGGUACCGCGCGAAAUCAGCGUCCUUUCA